rnacentral:pre_miRNA from 1 species
AAUAGAUGACGCCGUUGACUUUUUCUCACGUGUUUGACCAUUCGUCUUAUUCAAAAAAUUUACGUAAUUAUAAUUUAUUUUGUUAUGAAUUGUUUUAUCACUCAUAGUACUUGAAGUGUGAUUUGUAUCUUAUACAUUUGCAUAAAAUUUUUGAAUAAGACGAAUAGUCAAACAUGUGAGAAAAGUCAACGGCGUCAUCUAUU